GAUCGAAUCCACCGGUUCUCGUUAGAUCUCACCGAAGUCAAGCAUCGUUGGGCGCGGUCAGUACUUGGGUGGGUGACCACCUGGGAACACUGCGUGCCGUU